rnacentral:rRNA from 1 species
UAACAAAGAGAAGCAAAGCCGCGAGGUAGAGCAAAUCUCAAAAAAACAUCUCAGUUCAGACUGCAGGCUGCAACUCGCCUGCACGAAGUCGGAAUUGCUAGUAAUCGUAGGUCAGCAUACUACGGUGAAUACGUUCCCGGGCCUUGUACACACCGCCCGUCAAACCAUGAGAGUUGGCAACACCCGAAGUCGGUAGUCUAACCGCAAGGAGGACGCCGCCGAAGGUGGGGUUGAUGAUUAGGGUUAAGUCGUAACAAGGUACC